rnacentral:rRNA from 1 species
UGAAUACGAGAUGCUACGGCGUCGAAGCAGUCUAUGUCAUACUUCCAAGAAAAGCUUGCACUGUCAUAAACAAAUAAUGCCUGUACCAUAACCGACACAGGUGGGUAGGUAGAGUAUACUAAGGGGCGCGAGAUAACUCUCUCUAAGGAACUCGGCAAAAUGACUCCGUAACUUCGGGAGAAGGAGUGCCUUAUUUAUAAGGUUGCAAUAACAAGAUCCAAGCAACUGUUUACCAAAAACACAGGUCUCCGCUAAGUCGUAAGACGAUGUAUGGGGGCUGACGCCUGCCCAGUGCCAGAAGGUUAAAGAAGUUGGUUAGCAUCCGCGAAGCUGAUAACUGAAGCCCUGGUGAACGGCGGCCGUAACAAUAACGGUCCUAAGGUAGCGAAAUUCCUUGUCGGGUAAGUUCCGACCCGCACGAAAGGCGUAAUGAUUUGGAUACUGUCUCGGAGAGGGGCUCGGUGAAAUAGACUUGUCUGUGAAGAUGCGGACUACCUGCACCAGGACAGAAAGACCCUAUGAAGCUUUACUGUAACCUGAAAUUGAAAUUGGACUUUACUUGCGCAGUAUAGGUGGGAGGCGUUGAGAAUAUUCUUGGGAUUAUUGGAGCCAUCAGUGAGAUACCACUCUUGUAAUGUUAGAUUUCUAACUUUGUAUCAUUAUCUGGUCAAAGAACAGUUUCAGGCGGGCAGUUUGACUGGGGCGGUCGCCUCCUAAACGGUAACGGAGGCGCACAAAGGUUUCCUCUGAACGGGUAGAAAUCGUAUCUAGAGUGUAAAGGCAUAAGGAAGCUUGACUGUGAGACCUACAAGUCGAGCAGGGACGAAAGUCGGUCUUAGUGAUCUGACGGUGCUGAGUGGAAAGGCCGUCACUCAACGGAUAAAAGUUACUCUAGGAUAACAGGCUGAUCUCCCCCAAGAGUUCACAUCGACGGGGAGGUUUGGCACCUCGAUGUCGGCUCAUCGCAUCCUGGGGCGGUAGUACGUCCCGAGGGUUGGGCUGUUCGCCCAUGAAAGCGGUACGCGAGCUGGGUUCAGAACGUCGUGAGACAGUUCGGUCCAUAUCCGGUGUAGGCGUUAGAAUAUUGAGAGGAGCCUUCUUUAGUACGAGAGGACCGAGAAGGACAUACCUCUGGUGUACCAGUUAUCGUGCCAACGGUAAACGCUGGGUAGCUAUGUGUGGAGUGGAUAACCGCUGAAAGCAUCUAAGUGGGAAGCCCACCUCAAGAUGAGUGCUCUCACAGGGUUAACCUGGUAAGGUCACGGGAAGACCACCCGUUAAUAGGCACUAGGUGGAAGUCCAGUAAUGGAUGGAGCCAAGGUGUACUAACAGACCGAGGGCUUGAC